UGCUUAACACAUGCAAGUCGAACGGAAAGGCCCUGCUUUUGUGGGGUGCUCGAGUGGCGAACGGGUGAGUAACACGUGAGUAACCUGCCCUUGACUUUGGGAUAACUUCAGGAAACUGGGGCUAAUACCGGAUAGGAGCUCCUGCUGCAUGGUGGGGGUUGGAAAGUUUCGGCGGUUGGGGAUGGACUCGCGGCUUAUCAGCUUGUUGGUGGGGUAGUGGCUUACCAAGGCUUUGACGGGUAGCCGGCCUGAGAGGGUGACCGGCCACAUUGGGACUGAGAUACGGCCCAGACUCCUACGGGAGGCAGCAGUGGGGAAUAUUGCACAAUGGGCGGAAGCCUGAUGCAGCAACGCCGCGUGCGGGAUGACGGCCUUCGGGUUGUAAACCGCUUUCGCCUGUGACGAAGCGUGAGUGACGGUAAUGGGUAAAGAAGCACCGGCUAACUACGUGCCAGCAGCCGCGGUGAUACGUAGGGUGCGAGCGUUGUCCGGAUUUAUUGGGCGUAAAGGGCUCGUAGGUGGUUGAUCGCGUCGGAAGUGUAAUCUUGGGGCUUAACCCUGAGCGUGCUUUCGAUACGGGUUGACUUGAGGAAGGUAGGGGAGAAUGGAAUUCCUGGUGGAGCGGUGGAAUGCGCAGAUAUCAGGAGGAACACCAGUGGCGAAGGCGGUUCUCUGGGCCUUUCCUGACGCUGAGGAGCGAAAGCGUGGGGAGCGAACAGGCUUAGAUACCCUGGUAGUCCACGCUGUAAACGGUGGGUACUAGGUGUGGGGUCCAUUCCACGGGUUCCGUGCCGUAGCUAACGCUUUAAGUACCCCGCCUGGGAGUACGGCCGCAAGGCUAAAACUCAAAGGAAUUGACGGGGCCCCGCACAAGCGGCGGAGCAUGCGGAUUAAUUCGAUGCAACGCGUAGACCCUUACCUGGGUUUGACAUGGAUCGGGAGUGCUCAGAGAUGGGUGUGCUUCUUUGGGGGUCGGUUCACAGGUGGUGCAUGGCUGUCGUCAGCUCGUGUCGUGAGAUGUUGGGUUAAGUCCCGCAACGAGCGCAACCCUUGUUCACUGUUGCCAGCACGUUAUGGUGGGGACUCAGUGGAGACCGCCGGGGUCAACUCGGAGGAAGGUGGGGAUGACGUCAAGUCAUCAUGCCCCUUAUGUCCAGGGCUUCACGCAUGCUACAAUGGCUGGUACAGAGAGUGGCGAGCCUGUGAGGGUGAGCGAAUCUCGGAAAGCCGGUCUCAGUUCGGAUUGGGGUCUGCAACUCGACCUCAUGAAGUCGGAGUCGCUAGUAAUCGCAGAUCAGCAACGCUGCGGUGAAUACGUUCCCGGGGCUUGUACACACCGCCCGUCAAGUCAUGAAAGUUGGUAACACCCGAAGCCGGUGGCCUAACCGUUGUGGGGGAGCCGUCGAAUGUGGGACUGGUGAUUAGGACUA
rnacentral:rRNA from 1 species